CCUACGGGAGGCAGCAGUAGGGAAUCUUUCACAAUGGGCGAAAGCCUGAUGGAGCAACGCCGCGUGCAGGAUGAAGGCCUUCGGGUUGUAAACUGCUUUUAUAAGCGAGAAAUAUGAUGGUAACUUAUGAAUAAGGAUCGGCUAACUACGUGCCAGCAGCCGCGGUCAUACGUAGGAGCCGAGCAUUAUCCGGAGUGACUGGGUGUAAAGAGUUGCGUAGGUGGCAUAAUAAGUAGCUAGUGAAAUCGGGUGGCUCAACCAUUCAGACUAUUAGCUAAACUGUUACGCUCGAGACCGUUAGGGGUAACUGGAAUUUCUAGUGUAGGAGUGAAAUCCGUAGAUAUUAGAAGGAACACCAAUAGCGUAGGCAGGUUACUGGGACGGUUCUGACACUAAGGCACGAAAGCGUAGGGAGCAAACGGGAUUAGAUACCCCAGUAGUC
rnacentral:rRNA from 1 species